GGAGAAGAUGAGUGCCUGGGAAAGCAAAGCCGCGGGUCCGGUGUGGAGGAGUUGAGGCGGAGAACACGGGCGCACAGUCCCUAAAUUAAGGAAGUUCUCCGUCUCUUCACAGCUCUGAUGAAAAUGGCCGGCGAGGCCUGAUUCAAGCACACAAGGAGACAGUUACUGCACAUUACGCCGAGACUCGCUGAAAGUCCACAUUUGCAGUGCGGGAAAACGACGCCAUU